GACGAACGCUGGCGGCGUGCCUAAUACAUGCAAGUUGAGCGCUGACGGUUGGUACUUGUACUGACUGGAUGAGCAGCGAACGGGUGAGUAACGAGUGGGGAAUCUGCUAUUGAGCGGGGGACAACAUCUGGAAACGAAUGCUAAUACCGCAUAAAAACAUUAAACACAAGUUUUAAGUUUGAAAGAUGCAAUUCCAUCACUCAAAGAUGAUCCCGCGUUGUAUUAGCUAGUUGGUGAGGUAAAGGCUCACCAAGGCGAUGAUACAUAGCCGACCUGAAAGGGUGAUCGGCCACAUUGGGACUGAGACACGGCCCAAACUCCUACGGGAGGCAGCAGUAGGGAAUCUUCGGCAAUGGACGAAAGUCUGACCGAGCAACGCCGCGUGAGUGAAGAAGGUUUUCGGAUCGUAAAACUCUGUUGGUAGAGAAGAACGUUGGUGAGAGUGGAAAGCUCAUCAAGUGACGGUAACUACACAGAAAGGGACGGCUAACUACGUG
rnacentral:rRNA from 1 species